AACGAACGCUGGCGGCAUGCCUAACACAUGCAAGUCGAACGAGACCUUCGGGUCUAGUGGCGCACGGGUGCGUAACGCGUGGGAACCUGCCCUUAGGUUCGGAAUAACUCCCCGAAAGGGGUGCUAAUACCGGAUAAUGUCUUCGGACCACAGAUUUAUCGCCUUUGGAUGGGCCCGCGUUGGAUUAGCUAGUUGGUAGGGUAACAGCCUACCAAGGCGACGAUCCAUAGCUGGUCUGAGAGGAUGAGCAGCCACACUGGGACUGAGACACGGCCCAGACUCCUACGGGAGGCAGCAGUGGGGAAUAUUGGACAGUGGGCGAAAGCCUGAUCCAGCAAUGCCGCGUGAGUGAUGAAGGCCGUAGGGUUGUAAAGCUCUUUUACCCGGGAUGAUAAUGACAGUACCGGGAGAAUAAGCUCCGGCUAACUCCGUG
rnacentral:rRNA from 1 species